rnacentral:rRNA from 1 species
CGUCCUAUUAGCUAGUUGGUGAGGUAAUGGCUCACCAAGGCUACGAUGGGUAGGGGUUCUUAGUGGAGGGUCCCCCNCACUGGCACUGAGAUACGGGCCAGACUCCUACGGGAGGCAGCAGUAGGGAAUAUUGGUCAAUGGGCGCAAGCCUGAACCAGCCAUGCCGCGUGCAGGGUGAAGGCUCUCUGAGUUGUAAACUGCUUUUGUACAGGAGCAAAAAAAUCCCUGCGGGGGUUCUUGAGAGUACUGUAAGAAUAAGCACCGGCUAAUUCCGUGCCAGCAGCCGCGGUAAUACGGGAGGUGCAAGCGUUAUCCGGUUUUAUUGGGUUUAAAGGGUGCGUAGGCGGCUUAUUAAGUCAGUUGUGAAAUCCUAGUGCUUAACGCUAGAACUGCGAUUGAUACUAUU